rnacentral:rRNA from 1 species
GCGGCGGACGGGUGAGUAACACGUGGGUAACCUGCCUGUAAGACUGGGAUAACUCCGGGAAACCGGGGCUAAUACCGGAUAACUCAUUUCCUCGCAUGAGGAAAUGUUGAAAGGUGGCUUUUAGCUACCACUUACAGAUGGACCCGCGGCGCAUUAGCUAGUUGGUGAGGUAACGGCUCACCAAGGCAACGAUGCGUAGCCGACCUGAGAGGGUGAUCGGCCACACUGGGACUGAGACACGGCCCAGACUCCUACGGGAGGCAGCAGUAGGGAAUCUUCCGCAAUGGACGAAAGUCUGACGGAGCAACGCCGCGUGAGUGAUGAAGGUUUUCGGAUCGUAAAACUCUGUUGUUAGGGAAGAACAAGUACCGUUCGAAUAGGGCGGUACCUUGACGGUACCUAACCAGAAAGCCACG